rnacentral:rRNA from 1 species
GACGAACGCUGGCGGCGUGCUUAACACAUGCAAGUCGAACGGAAAGGCCCUGCUUUUGUGGGGUGCUCGAGUGGCGAACGGGUGAGUAACACGUGAGUAACCUGCCCUUGACUUUGGGAUAACUUCAGGAAACUGGGGCUAAUACCGGAUAGGAGCUCCUGCUGCUUGUUGGGGGUUGGAAAGUUUCGGCGGUUGGGGAUGGACUCGCGGCUUAUCAGCUUGUUGGUGGGGUAGUGGCUUACCAAGGCUUUGACGGGUAGCCGGCCUGAGAGGGUGACCGGCCACAUUGGGACUGAGAUACGGCCCAGACUCCUACGGGAGGCAGCAGUGGGGAAUAUUGCACAAUGGGCGGAAGACUGAUGCAGCAACGCCGCGUGCGGGAUGACGGCCUUCGGGUUGUAAACCGCUUUCGCCUGUGACGAAGCGUGAGUGACGGUAAUGGGUAAAGAAGCACCGGCUAACUACGUG